UACGUAGGGCGCAAGCGUUGUCCGGAAUCAUUGGGCGUAAAGAGCUCGUAGGCGGCCUGUUGCGUCCGCUGUGAAAUCCCGGGGCUUAACCCCGGGCGUGCAGUGGAUACGGGCUGGCUGGAGGCAGGCAGGGGAGAACGGAAUUCCCGGUGUAGCGGUGAAAUGCGCAGAUAUCAGGAGGAACACCGGUGGCGAAGGCGGUUCUCUGGGCAUUACCUGACGCUGAGGAGCGAAAGUGUGGGGAGCGAACAGG
rnacentral:rRNA from 1 species